rnacentral:piRNA from 1 species
UCCCUAAACCUUAGCUGCCCUAGUUGUC